rfam:Candidatus Andersenbacteria bacterium RIFCSPHIGHO2_12_FTLL_45_11b rifcsphigho2_12_scaffold_17215, whole genome shotgun sequence.
ACUAUUAAGAGUUUGAUCCUGGCUCAGGCUGAACGCUGGCAGUAUGGAUAAGGCAUGCAAGUCGAACGGUCCCGCCAAUGCUCGUCGCAAGACGAACGCUGGCGGGAUAGUGGCAAAUGGGUUAGUAACACGUUGGAAAUCUACCCGAAAGUGGGGAAUAAUUCGCCGAAAGGCGGACUAAUACCCCAUGGUCCAUAUAUACGAGAGUGUAUUUGGUAAAGAUUUAUCGCUUUCGGAAGAUCCUGCGUCCUAUCAGCUUGUUGGUGAGGUAAUGGCUCACCAAGGCUAUGACGGGUAGGGGAUGUGAGAGCACGACCCCCAACACUGGAACUGCGACACGGUCCAGACACCUACGGGUGGCUGCAGUCGAGAAU